GUGCGUAUAAAUCAUAUGUACCGAGCUUGUUACAUAUGUAGUUAAUACGAGGACCAGUGAGGGACUUGGUGAAAAUGUCUGCAAGCUGAGAGCUUGUUACAUAUGUAGUUAAUACGAGGACCAGUGAGGGACUUGGUGAAGAUAUCUAAAAGUUGAUCAUUCGACUUCACAAACUUUGUAGUAAUAUCUCCUGAGAGUAUCUUUUCUCUGACAAAGUGACAGGCAAUCUCAAUGCAUUUAGUUCUCUCGUGGACACUGAAUUUGACACAAUAUGAAGAGCAGCUUGAUUAUCACACACAAGUUCCAUCUAGCUAAUCUCACCAAAUUUUAACUCCUUGAGCAACUGUUUGAUCUAAAUUAGCUCACACGUCGCCAUAGCCAUUACUUGAUAUUCUGCUUUUGCACUAGAUCGAGCAAUCACAUUCUAUUUCUUGCUCUUCCAAAGACACCAAAUUACCUCCUACUAGACACAAAAUCGAGACGUAGAACGCCUAUCAGAAGGUGAUGGCUCAAUCAGCAUCCGAGUAUCCAACGAUCUGCUCAUGGCCUUGAUAACAAUAAACUUUUGCUUGGAGCUAAUUUUAUACGCCGAAGAAUGCGAACUGCAUCCCAAUAACUAACACAAGGAGAAUCCAGGAACUGACUUACCACACUCACUGGAAAAGAAAUGCCAGGUCUAGUCACUGUGAGGUAAUUUAAUUUACCAAUCAGCCACCUAUAUAUUGCAAGAUCGCUAAGCGGUUUCCCCUGUUCUGGUAGAAGUUUAGAAUUCGGAUCCAUCAGAGUGUCAACAGGUCUACAACAUGUCGUUCCCGCCUCCUCAAGAAUUUCUAAGGCAUACUUCCUUUGUGAGAUCACAAUACCUGAGCUAGACUUAGCGACCUCAAUACCCAGAAAAUACUUUAAUCUGCCCAGAUCCUUAGUCUGAAAGUGCUGAAAGAG
rnacentral:lncRNA from 1 species